rnacentral:rRNA from 1 species
AGUAACGGCGAGUGAAGCGGCAACAGCUCAAAUUUGAAAUCUGGCCCCCGGGUCCGAGUUGUAAUUUGUAGAGGAAGCUUUUGGUGCGGUACCUUCCGAGUUCCCUGGAACGGGACGCCAUAGAGGGUGAGAGCCCCGUCUGGUCGGAUACCAAUCCUCUGUAAAGCUCCUUCGACGAGUCGAGUAGUUUGGGAAUGCUGCUCUAAAUGGGAGGUAUAUGUCUUCUAAAGCUAAAUACCGGCCAGAGACCGAUAGCGCACAAGUAGAGUGAUCGAAAGAUGAAAAGCACUUUGAAAAGAGAGUUAAAAAGUACGUGAAAUUGUUGAAAGGGAAGCGCUCAUGACCAGACGUGGGCUUGGUUGAUCAACCUGGGUUCUCCCCGGUGCACUCUUCCUCGCCCAGGCCAGCAUCAGUUUGCUUCGGGGGAUAAAGGCGUCGGGAAUGUGGCUCCCCCGGGAGUGUUAUAGCCCGUCGUGCAAUACCCUGCGGCAGACUGAGGUUCGCGUUCCGCAAGGAUGCUGGCGUAAUGGUCAUCAGCGACCCGUCUUGAAACACGGACCAAGGAGUCGUCUUCGUAUGCGAGUGUUCGGGUGUUAAACCCCUACGCGAAAUGAAAGUGAACGUAGGUGAGAGCUUCGGCGCAUCACCGACCGAUCCUGAUGUUCUCGGAUGGAUUUGAGUAAGAGCAUACGGGGCCGGACCCGAAAGAAGGUGAACUAUGCCUGUAUAGGGUGAAGCCAGAGGAAACUCUGGUGGAGGCUCGCAGC